GAGGAAUAUUGGUCAAUGGACGGAAGUCUGAACCAGCCAAGUAGCGUGCAGGAUGACGGCCCUAUGGGUUGUAAACUGCUUUUGUAUGGGGAUAAAGUUAGGGACGUGUCCCUAUUUGCAGGUACCAUACGAAUAAGGACCGGCUAAUUCCGUGCCAGCAGCCGCGGUAAUACGGAAGGUCCAGGCGUUAUCCGGAUUUAUUGGGUUUAAAGGGAGCGUAGGCUGGAGAUUAAGUGUGUUGUGAAAUGUAGACGCUCAACGUCUGAAUUGCAGCGCAUACUGGUUUCCUUGAGUACGCACAACGUUGGCGGAAUUCGUCGUGUAGCGGUGAAAUGCUUAGAUAUGACGAAGAACUCCGACUGCGAAGGCAGCUGACGGGAGCGCAACUGACGCUUAAGCUCGAAGGUGCGGGUAUCAAACAGGAUUAGAUACCCUGGUAGUCCGCACAGUAAACGAUGGAUGCCCGCUGUUGGUACCUGGUAUCAGCGGCUAAGCGAAAGCAUUAAGCAUCCCACCUGGGGAGUACGCCGGCAACGGUG
rnacentral:rRNA from 1 species